UUUUAAGAAAAAAAUCUGUUUUACGUGAUGGUUUGGUGAAAAGAAAAACUAUUCCACCUCCCCCGAUCCUUCCCUGUCGAGGAACCAAGGCGUCCUCCACCAUCCGCUAGGGCUGCUUCUCCUCCCCCAUGAUCCGAUGUUCCUGCUCCUGUCCCUCCUCAAGUCUUCACAUGUAUCAUCUAAAACCAAUCCAAGCAGCCUCUCAGGUUCGCGUUCCUAUGCAACCUUCGAAUCCACCCUGCCGCAGACAUGAUGCAAUCAAUAUUUCAUGAGGAGGCUUUUCCAAUCUCAGCGCGCAUGCCCCGAGCAAAUAACGAUGUUGGAUGUGGUGGAGAAGGCGGUGCAAAGGCAGUUUGUUUCAGAUCUGGGAGCCUUCAUUGUUGGUGAAGCUGGAAAUAAUCAACCGCUGCAAGUAUGCAAGGAAAAAGGAUGGAGUAGGUUUUCAAUUUUCAAUUUUUUAUGUUGUCCAUCAUGCAAUUUGAGACUUGGUCUCCAAUCAGCAAGUACAUCCUAUUUGUUUUGUGGGAUUUUGGUGAAGUGUGUCAUUUGGUUUUAGGCCUGUUCGCGAUAGGUAUUUGUAAGAUUGGGAAGAUCUGUAAUUUAUGUGCCAUCCGAUUAAGAGAUUCAGUACACCAAAUAUUGGGACGUACUUGCGCACAAAGUCGAUCACCUCCUCUAAUUCUGUUGGGAAGUGGAUAGGUCGUUUUAGCAUUGCAUGAUUUGUCCAGUCUACUACUUUUGUUUCAUAUAAAUAAAAACUCCAUGUUUGUUUUCAUGAAUCUGUUCUUUCAAUUAUGCUCAACCAAUUGUCCAAUAGGAUUUGCUUAUCUUAGAAGCACAAACUACACUCUGCUUUGAAGUUCUGAUGCAAGUUUUUGAUAGUGCUAUUUGUAGAAUGGAACGUAUAUGCAUAAAAGAGGCCAAGAGGUCAAGAAGGUAUCGCCGUUAAAGUAUUUGUUGGAAGUAACACCAAAAUAAUUAUGCUCAAGUAAACCUCUUGGUAAAGACUAGCAGUGAAGCUGUUCACCUCCUCGACACUCCUCAAAUUCAUUGUCAGACACUCCUACGCCCAUCAGCAGGAAAAAGUAGCUAUACACUUAUAAUACUCUGUUUGAGAUAAAUUUUACUCAUAUAUUUUGUUACCCGUCCCUGAUUGUUCAUGUUAUGCCCACAACUUUAAAUCUUUAGUUCUCCCAUUAAUUCUAUACUUCAGCAGCAAAUGGCACCAAUGCAUGUUGCGGGCAAUUAGGAACAAGUGGUAUGGCUAAUACUUAAUCAGUUGUUUAAUUAUUUGUUUCACCUUUUCCAGGUUUCGUAUAGGAAAAUAGACUAAUGUUUUCUCUUAUUUCUUGCAGUUGCUUAAUUACGUAUCCAGUUUCCAGUCCAUGAACUUCUUUGAAAUAAGUUGCCAGUCUAUGUAGAUUAGUAUUUGAUGAGUUACUAAGAAAUUUUUAGGUAUUUCUAUAUGUUCAGUUAUACUCUCAUAUGCGAUAUAGACCUGAAUUGACCGAAAACUCAGAUAGCAUUUUUUCUUAUAAAUGUGAGUAUUAUAAAGAAACAGUCACCAGCUAGUUGAUUCAAAGAACAUUAUAGAUUUAGAUAAUUUAACUGACAUGGAAUUCAGUCAAAUAUAGUGUCGCUGUCUAAUAUCAUUUGUUCUAUAAUAUCUAUAAUGUUUGAGGCAUCUAGAGUUCGUGGUUCAUUUUUCUUGCUCUUCUAGAAUAGAUUUACUCUCAAAGGAUGGUUCUCACGCCCCGACCCUCCUAGCGACAUAAAGUUGUCGUCUCCAGCCCAUCACUCAAUGGAACUUUGAUGGGCAACCCUCGGCUUUGUAAAGAGCACAUCUUUUCACCAACCAUUUAUACAUAGAAAUGCUGGACAAUCACAAGAUUUGCAUCGUGUGUAUGAGCAUAUCUGUUUCACGUGAAUCCACCUCUUUAUUCUCUAUACAUUCAUUCACAUAUUAGAUGACAAAUCGUUUAGAUUAUCUCAGUGUAUAUAGGUGUGCAUAUCAAGUUUCUGCAGAAAAACUUCUCUCUGGUAAGAAAGUUUCUAUAGCUUUUAGUCCAUGUUUAGUUAAAUCAUCAGAAUAUCUGCUGAAUAUAUAUGUUCAUUCGUGCAGUAUACCCUAUUAUUUUUUUCUUAUACAGAAACAAAUUACUUCCAUAUAUUUUGAUGCUUCCCAUACUGAACACAAUUCCUGACCCUUGAACGACAGUUUUUAUUCCUUAUCUCCAUCUCACAUAUCUACCUUCUAUCUACAUAUCUAUCUGUUCCUUCUACUUCUAAGACAGAUAUAAUAUUUGUAGUUCAAAUGGUGAAAUCUACAUAAGUUUUAUGAUUAUGUUCUGUUAAAUUAUGUGCCCUUUGCUAGAAAGAGCGAGAGCUCAAGACUACUGUGGAGCAGAUUGUACAUGUAAGCCGAUAGAUUGGAGUGCCUGAUCGAACCCAAAAAGGGAGUUCGCAAUUAUGCAGUAACUUUCUAACUGAUAUCUCCUAUCGGCCGUUUCUUUUGAUUUUUUUAAUUUUCGUGCAUCCGUUUUAGGUGGAAACUUAUUGGCAUGGCGGGUCAACGGACACAACAACGACACUACCAUAUGACAAACAAGAAUGCAUCGGUGUUGAGAAUGGUCAUAAUCCUCAUGUUGGGAAGCCAACAUGGAGACUGCUACACAUGUUCCUCCAUUCCUCGGGAGCAAUAAAGAAAAUAUGGCAGACAUGACUUCUACUAUAUCACCCAGACUUAGUGUACACACAUGAAUAUAGUUAUAGAUCACAAUCACCUAUUGUGCAUGUCCCAAUGUUUUGUAGGGCCCGAUUAGCGUUUCAUGUUUGUUAGUCACUCUAAAAUGUUGGACUUAGAUCUGUAAAAAAACAUGUUUGACUUAGGUGAAGCUUCAUUGAACCUAUCA